CAUGAGCGGCGGACGGCUGAGUAACGCGUAGGAAUGUACCCCAAAGUGAGGAAUAAGCCCGGGAAACCGGGUCUAAUGCCGCAUAAUCUCUUCGGAGGAAAGCCUUCGGGCGCUAUGGGAGCGGCCUGCGUAUGAUUAGCUUGUUGGUGAGGUAAAAGCUCACCAAGGCGACGAUCAUUAGCUGGUCUGAGAGGAUGACCAGCCAGACUGGGACUGAGAACGGCCCAGACCCCUACGGGGGGCAGCAAUUAGGAAUCUUUCACAAUGGGGGAAACCCUGAUGGAGCAACGCCGCGUGCAGGAGGAAGGCCUUCGGGUCGUAAACUGCUUUUAUCUGUGAAGAUUAUGACGGUAGCAGAUGAAUAAGGACCGGCUAACUCCGUGCCAACAGCCGCGGUCAUACGGAGGGUCCA
rnacentral:rRNA from 1 species